rnacentral:rRNA from 1 species
CCUACGGGUGGCAGCAGUGAGGAAUAUUGGUCAAUGGGCGCGAGCCUGAACCAGCCAAGUAGCGUGAAGGAUGACUGCCCUACGGGUUGUACACUUCUUUUAUGAAGAGGUCGAGUGAGGCACGUGUGCCUUUUUGUAUGUACUUUAUGAAUAAGGCUCGACUAACUCCGUGCCAGCAGCCGCGGUAAUACGGUGGAUCCGAGCGUUAUCCGGAUUUGUUGGGUUUAAAGGGAGCGUAGAUGGGUUGUUAAGUCAGUUGUGAAAGUUUGGGGCGCAACCGUGAAAUUGCACUUGAUACUGGCAGGCUGGAGUAUAGUUGAGGGAGGCAGAAUUCGUGGUGUAGCGGUGAAAUGCGUAGAGAUCACGAAGAACACCGAUUGCGAAGGCAGCCUACUGAACAGCCACUGACAUUGAUGCUCGAAAGCGUGGGUAUCAAACAGGAUUAGAUACCCGGGUAGUC